rnacentral:rRNA from 1 species
UACGGAGGGUGCAAGCGUUGUCCGGAAUCACUGGGCGUAAAGGGCGCGUAGGCGGCUCAUGAAGGCUGUGGUGAAAGUCCGGGGCUCAACCUCGGAUCGGCCGUGGCGACUCGUGGGCUGGAGCACUGUAGAGGCGGGUGGAAUUCCGGGUGUAGCGGUGGAAUGCGUAGAGAUCCGGAAGAACACCAGUGGCGAAGGCGGCCCGCUGGGCAGUUGCUGACACUGAGGCGCGACAGCGUGGGGAGCAAACAGG